rnacentral:misc_RNA from 1 species
UACUCGUCAUCAACUAUCGUAUCUUCUAGGCAGAAACAUCAUCCCAUAAAGCUCGAAGCUACAACCAAUCGAAAUGCACCGCCAAACUAAGAUCAUAUCCAAUAUGGCGGUGUUGUUUGCUUUGUAGGCUUUAUGAAUGAAUCGAUGCUGCAUAGACAUCGCCAAUUUUGUUUUGCAUAAUUUAAAAAAAGUCCUCAUAACUAAAAAGUCUGUAUAGUUAUAGGUCCUUUUCUCUCUGUAUUUGUUUUUUUCUGUAAACCAGCAUGCAUCCUAUACAUACAUAGGCCAUACUUCCGGUUUCCUUUUUUCGUUCGUGAACAAUAAGGAUAGUUUUGUAUUUCUUAUACAGGUACAAUGUCGUAUUUCAAGAUCAGACAAAAGAAGAAAAAGCAACCCGCAAAGAUAGUGAAGAUUUACAACAACUUGACAGGGCGAUGGGUAACCCUUAAAGAGAAUAAGGGAAAGAAAAAAGACACAGUUUCUGCUGCUCCCUCCCAGCCAGACACAGUUAUUGCUGCUUCCGUCCAGCAACCGAUCCCGACAACAUCAUCCAUCGAUGUUGAGCCUAUGGCCGUAGUUUUUGCUGCUUCCUCCCAACAACCGAUCCAGACAACAUCAUCCAUUGAUGUUGAGCCUAUGCCCGUAGAUCUUGAAAAUGGAGCAAGCUCUUACUGGAACAAGAAAGUAAAUCGUGCUGACAAAUGGGAAAAGAUAUGCCACGAACUGCUGGUUGUGCACACUGAGCUGUGUGCUGUUCCAGAUAGAAGCCAGUGUAUCUGCUGUGGUUUAAAUUUACCAACAAUCCGCUGCUUGGAUUGUGGCAGCAAUGCACUAUUCUGUGAGGAGGAUUUUGUAGAUCGUCACAAGAAUGCUGCAUUUCAUAGUCCAGAAAUAUGGAAUGGAUAUUGUUUUGUGCCAUAUGCAGCCAACUUGCCUGUUUUUGUGCAUAGCAAUCACAAGGUACCAUCUUGUGCAAAACGUACAAGGGAAAUCAGUGUGAUUGGAAUGAGAGGUGGCCCACAGCUGUUUACUUUUGAAUUCUGCUCAUGUGAGAGUGACACAGUCACACUACUACGCCAUCGCCUUUGGGGUUCUUCCCCAGAAAUACCAUCUGUGGCAUUUAAACUGGAUGUCAUGGAAUGGUUGCGUGCAUUAGUGCUUGAAUGCCAGGUGUCAGUUAAGGGCUUUGUCGAUGCAUUGGCAACCCGACUUAGCAAGAUAGAGAGCAUGAGCAGCAAGGAGGUUAAUGGAGUAUAUCAGGCCCUAGUUACUGAUGCAUUUACAAUGUACAUGCACCAUGAAUACCAGUUGCAGCAGCUGCAACACAUUGAUCCAGAUCUUGAUGAUGGAACUGGUUGUCCUGCCUGCCAUGUGGUCAAAGAAGACAUUGAGGUUAAUGCAAAAGACCCUGCAACUGAUGGAAGUCAGCUAGUGUUGUCUGAAAAUAUCUUGAAAAUGGAGCAAGCUUUUACUGGAAAAAGAAAGUAAAUUGUGCUGACAAAUGGGAAAAGAUAUGCCACGAACUGCUGGUUGUGCACACUGAGCUGUGUGCUGUUCCAGAUCGAAGCCAGUGUAUCUGCUGUGGUUUAAAUUUACCAACAAUCCGCUGCUUGGAUUGUAGCAGCAAUGCACUAUUCUGUGAGGAGGACUUUGUAGAGCAUCACAAGAAUGCUGCAUUUCAUAGUCCAGAAAUAUGGAAUGAUUGGCUAUCUGUACUUUUAUUUACAUCUUAUACUUACCCACGGCGGUGAAGACUCUGUUGGCUAUCCGAACGGUUUUGCU